AGAAAGAUGCUGAAUUAGUGGGAAAAUCUCAUUAAUUUACCAAAGGCAGCUUUGCUUGGCCCAGAGAGCCAGUAUCUUCCAGUAGCAGGCAGACGGAGCCCUGUGCAGAUCCAGUUGCACAGAGCCACCCUUUCCACCCUGCCAGGCCUGGCCAACGAUGGGAUGACCUUUCAAAGAGGGACCUUUGCCCAGCACAUGGUAAAGAAGGCUUAAAAAGAAAAGCUCCCUAGACUCGCCUGAAUAGCAUCGCCAAACAUUUCCCAGGAUGAUUUCACAGGGUGAAAUUUAGCAGCAGAUUCAAUGCUUCUAAAAAUUAUUUUUCAAGGGAAGUUGACUUGUUCUACUCCAACAGCAUUCAUAUCUUCCUAACACUUUUUUUUUUUUUUUUUUUUUUUUUUUGAGACAGAGUUCCGUUCUUGUUGCCCAGGCUGGAGUGCAAUGGCGUGAUCUCAGCUCACUGCAACCUCUGCCUUCCAAGUUCAAGCGAUUCUCCACAUGGAGAGUCCAUGUGGCAGCAUCACCAUAAGCAAAGUGCUUCUCCCUGAGUCCAGCACUGAGUUCCUUGAGGGAACAU
rnacentral:lncRNA from 1 species